rnacentral:rRNA from 1 species
AUUGAACGCUGGCGGCAUGCCUUACACAUGCAAGUCGAACGGUAACAGGUCUUCGGAUGCUGACGAGUGGCGAACGGGUGAGUAAUACAUCGGAACGUGCCUAGUAGUGGGGGAUAACUACUCGAAAGAGUGGCUAAUACCGCAUGAGAUCUACGGAUGAAAGCAGGGGAUCGCACGACCUUGUGCUACUAGAGCGGGCGAUGGCAGAUGAGGGAGUUGGUGGGAUAAAAGCUUACCAAGCCGACGAUCUGUAGCUGGUCUGAGAGGACGAUCAGCCACACUGGGACUGAGACACGGCCCAGACUCCUACGGGAGGCAGCAGUGGGGAAUUUUGGACAAUGGGCGCAAGCCUGAUCCAGCAAUGCCGCGUGCAGGAUGAAGGCCUUCGGGUUGUAAACUGCUUUUGUACGGAACGAAAAGCCCCGGGUUAAUACCCUGGGGUCAUGACGGUACCGUAAGAAUAAGCACCGGCUAACUACGUGCCAGCCGCCGCCGUAA